UACGGGGGGGGCAAGCGUUGUUCGGAAUUACUGGGCGUAAAGGGCUCGUAGGCGGCCAACUAAGUCGGACGUGAAAUCCCUCGGCUUAACCGGGGAACUGCGUCCGAUACUGGAUGGCUUGAGUUCGGGAGAGGGAUGCGGAAUUCCAGGUGUAGCGGUGAAAUGCGUAGAUAUCAGGAGGAACACCCGUGGCGAAAGCGGCUCUCUGGGACGGUACUGACGCUGAGACGCGAAAGCGUGGGGAGCAAACAGGAUUGAGACUACCGAGUAGUC
rnacentral:rRNA from 1 species